UUUCUUACUUGCAGUUGAAGUGGUGUGCUUGGGUUGCGCUAUACUGCUCCUGCACCAGCUUUGCCAACUCGAGAGUCAAUGACGAUACGAAACAAAUGCUCAGCAGCUUCAUGUUGUCCAUUUCUGCAGUUGUGAUGUCCUACCUUCAAAACCCACAGCCAAUGACACCUCCAUGGUCCAAUAUAUAAACAGUUCUAUAUUAUCGAUUGUUUUUGGUUGAAUGGAAAUGUAUAAUUGCCUCACCAUACUUGUAUUAAAAUUGUACUGCUGAAUGACAGUGACAAUUUUAGUUUUAAUAAACUAGCUAAUGGUGCCAGGUUUGUAUUAUGAUGUGCAAUAUGGAACAGUGCCAACAUUUGAUGAUGUGCAUGAGUUACAAAAUGGCUUGGUUUGUUAAUCUUUUAAUUUGUGUAGCCUGCACUAUAUAAUUCUUGUGUUAUACUUCCCAUCCAAAAGUUUCUUGUAAGCAGCUUGUCUUUUUUUUCUUUAACAAAUGGACAAAUUUGUAUUGUCCCAUAACAUUAUCAUGUCAUUCAUGCCAGUGUAAAAGGCAAUAGCAUGAAGGUCAAAGCUUGAAAUAUCCUGGAAUAUGAAGUACCAUACGAGUUGAUCCUCGAGUGACAACCACAUUAGUACAGUAGAUAGCCUCCAUAUUAGACAUAAAAGGAAGACUUGAUCACCACGUUAGAAAUAGAAGAGUGAAAGGGAAUUGGGAGUGGAAUGGUAGGCAGUCAGUAUGGGGGAAGGGAGACUUUUGGAGUACAGUGCAGUACUGUCCAUUCAGUAGAGCCAGGCUGUCACCUGAUCGUAUGACAGGCAAAGUUAUCAGUCACUAGCACUGAUUUUAUAGUUUUCUUCGAGGUGGCAUCAACUGCAUAAUAUCUUUUUGAUCAUGAAAUUACAUUAACUCCAACCAGUUACUGCUGGCUAAUAAUUCUUAGACAUAAAGGAAAGAGGACAAAUCAGAAGAGCAUGUUAAGAUAGGGCUACCUGAAUAGGUUUCAGUUGUGGUUACUCCAUCAGAGGGGCGUUCAUGGGGAUAAAGAUAGAUUCUACAGUAAAUUGUUAAUUCCUCUUUUAGGACUGCCUCCUCUUCCAUUUUGCUUAGUUAUGCACAGUUGUUGUUUUAUGGUUACAAAGGAAACAUAUCAUUCCUUAAUUUCUUAUUUUGACUGUAUCAGAAUUUAGAAUUUCUAAAAUAUAGUUACAGGUUGUAAGUACAGUAUGUAUAACAGUUUAUACAGUACUAUACUUAGUGUAUAAAAUAUAUAUUAAUGCAGGCCAUAUGUAUUAUUGUUAAAUAUGUACUUUUGUAUUUCAUAGUAAACCUUUUACCAUAA